rnacentral:rRNA from 1 species
GAUGAACGCUGGCGGCGUGCCUAAUACAUGCAAGUCGAGCGAACAGACGAGGAGCUUGCUCCUCUGACGUUAGCGGUGGACGGGUGAGUAACACGUGGAUAACCUACCUAUAAGACUGGGAUAACUUCGGGAAACCGGAGCUAAUACCGGAUAAUAUAUUGAACCGCAUGGUUCAAUAGUGAAAGAAGGUUUUGCUGUCACUUAUAGAUGGAUCCGCGCCGCAUUAGCUAGUUGGUAAGGUAACGGCUUACCAAGGCGACGAUGCGUAGCCGACCUGAGAGGGUGAUCGGCCACACUGGAACUGAGACACGGUCCAGACUCCUACGGGAGGCAGCAGUAGGGAAUCUUCCGCAAUGGGCGAAAGCCUGACGGAGCAACGCCGCGUGAGUGAUGAAGGUCUUCGGAUCGUAAAACUCUGUUAUUAGGGAAGAACAAAUGUGUAAGUAACUAUGCACGUCUUGACGGUACCUAAUCAGAAAGCCACGGCUAACUACGUG